CGGUGGUGGUGGUGGGCG
rnacentral:miRNA from 1 species